GACGAACGCUGGCGGCGUGCUUAACACAUGCAAGUCGAACGGAAAGGCCCUGCUUUUGUGGGGUGCUCGAGUGGCGAACGGGUGAGUAACACGUGAGUAACCUGCCCUUGACUUUGGGAUAACUUCAGGAAACUGGGGCUAAUACCGGAUAGGAGCUCCUGCUGCAUGGUGGGGGUUGGAAAGUUUCGGCGGUUGGGGAUGGACUCGCGGCUUAUCAGCUUGUUGGUGGGGUAGUGGCUUACCAAGGCGUUGACGGGUAGCCGGCCGGAGAGGGUGACCGGCCACACGGGAGUGGAGACGCGGGCCAGACGCCUACGGGAGGCAGGAGGGGGGAAUAGUGGACGAUGGGCGGAAGCCUGGUCCAGCCAUACCGCGUGGGUGAAGACGGCCUUCGGGUUGUAAAGCCCUUUUGUGGGGAAAGAAAAGCAGCAGGUUAAUACCCCGCUGUUCUGACGGGACCCAAAGAAUAAGCACCGGCUAACUUCGUG
rnacentral:rRNA from 1 species